GGGCGUAUAGCUCAGCGGUAGAGCUCUGGUUUUACACACCAGCGGUCGGCGGUUCGAACCCGUCUGCGCCCA
rfam:Nocardia cyriacigeorgica GTH-2 chromosome complete genome